rnacentral:misc_RNA from 1 species
AAUGCAUAAAUCCAAUAUGGCGGAUAAUUCGCACCUCACCGACAAGGUACGGAUAGGUACGAAGCCAGAAGAUACUCGUGUCUUGUACAUAUAUUAUGACAUUAAGGACAACAAGCUACAAACUAAAACAUGGGAGAUAAAGAACAUCAUGUACACUUCAGCGGAGCGAGUGGUCUUGGGAAGGACAAUAACAUUAUGAUACAACCGCAACGACAUGGGCAUAUAGAUGUUCAUCUUGGAUUCUUACAGCUUCAUCACAGGUUUACAAAACGAUGCGAUAAACUAAACAUAUCACCUGGAGUUUUCUAUACCAUGGAAUAUUUGUGUUCAUGGUGAACUUUUUGCGCCAGCUGUAGUUGCCAGUAACCAGCACAAUCCAGACUGUCAUAUCAUAGAAUUAAUGCAAGAGAAGGACGGCCUAAAGUUAAAAAUUGAAUUGCUGGCGUAUAAGGAACGAAUCUUGAAGGAAGAAGUUGAAGUCAUGUGUUGUAAAUCUGGCACACCAUUGAAAAUACUCUUGAAUGCAAGAGUAUUAGGUAAAGACAAAGGAACCCCUUUAUUAAGGAAUGGUAUACGUAGUGUCGCUGUAGAAGGAGUCGAAAAAGAUGAUACAUCUGACUGAAUUUACUAACUAAUGCUUCUAAAUAAAACACGCUUUUGU